GGGUCAGUAGGUUGGUCGUGCCACCGGUACGUACUGGUCUCACUGAUUCCUCCUUCCUGAAGAACCGUAAUGCCAUUAAUUUGGUGUUGCGGGGAAACAGGACUGUUACUUUGAAAAAAUUAGAGUGUUUAAAGCAAGCUAACGCUUGAAUACAUUAGCAUGGAAUAAUGAAUUAGGACUAUCGAUCCUAUUUUGUUGGUUUCUAGGAUUGACGUA
rnacentral:rRNA from 1 species